AGUCACUAGAAUUUCAUUCAUUUGUAUAGAUUUAGCACCAAUAAAAGUUUGGAAACAGUACUAAUAGGCUUAAAUAAGUCUACGGUGCUCACGAUUCUUUUGAGACAGUUAUGGAAUGCUGUCCUAAUUUAAGCAUAAUGUGCUGAUUUACCCUGAAUUUUUCAAUUAGAACAAAGACUUGAUUCAGAGGAUGAAAAAGGGAUAAAACAACCUUAGCCAGAAACACUUUUCUCCUCCCCUCCCUAUACCUCUGUCAAUAAAUAAAUAAAUAAAUAAAUAAAUAAAAAUAAGUCUAACUCUGGUAAUUAUCACAGGUGUGACUGCUUAGUGACUCUACUUCAUUUCUAGCAUGUUCUCCCUUUCAUUCUCCUAGGUCAUUAGCUCUUACUUUCCCUCUCUCCUCAGAUCUUUAACAGCCGCCCCCCCCCCCCAGCUUCAUCCUCAAAUGAGCUUUGCUGUUUCACUUAAAGAAGAGUCAUGAUGAAAAGUCAAGUCCAGAGGAAACGAGGCCCUGUGAAGACAUGGAGGAGGAAACAUAGUCAAUAAACUCUGGAACACUAGCAAGCCACUCUAGGACAAAGUAAAGGCCUUCAAAUUCUCUCCUGG
rnacentral:lncRNA from 1 species